UGCGCAGGCGGGAAAUUAAGUCAGUGGUGAAAGCCCCGAGCUCAACUUGGGAACUACCAUUGAUACUGAUUUUCUUGAAUAUAGUUGAGGUAGGCGGAAUACAACAUGUAGCGGUGAAAUGCAUAGAUAUGUUGUAGAACACCAAUUGCGAAGGCAGCUUACUAAACUAUUAUUGACGCUGAGGCACGAAAGCGUGGGGAGCGAACAGGAUUAGAUACCCUGGUAGUCC
rnacentral:rRNA from 1 species